GCUGUGAUGGCCGAGAGGUUAAGGUGUUGGACUCGAAAUCCGAUGGGGUUUACCCACGCAGGUUCGAAUCCUGUCUUAUAAGA